CAGUAGCCACGGUAAUACGGAGGGUGCAAGCGUUAAUCGGAAUUACUGGGCGUAAAGCGCACGCAGGCGGUCUGUCAAGUCGGAUGUGAAAUCCCCGGGCUCAACCUGGGAACUACAUUCGAAACUGGCAGGCUAGAGUCUUGUAGAGGGGGGUAGAAUUCCAGGUGUAGCGGUGAAAUGCGUAGAGAUCUGGAGGAAUACCGGUGGCGAAGGCGGCCCCCUGGACAAAGACUGACGCUCAGGUGCGAAAGCGUGGGGAGCAAACAGGAUUAGAUACCCCUGUAGUCCCUGUCUCUUAUAC
rnacentral:rRNA from 1 species